rnacentral:lncRNA from 1 species
GUAAUCUUAAGGACUUCUGCUGCGAAAUGAGAGUGGCCAUAGAGGGCUACAACAUGGUGGACCUUGUUGCCUUUUGGAGUGACUUAGUAGCCGUUUUCUUCAUCCCUUUUCAAAUGAUCACCAAGUAGCAAAUUGGCAUCUCCAAUAUUGCCUCUCAUCACAGCAUUAUACAGGGUUAGAUCCAUUCCUUUUGAUUUGGAGUUUUAUCCAAGAUCUCCC